rnacentral:rRNA from 1 species
GACGAAGGGGGCUAGCGUUGUUCGGAAUUACUGGGCGGAAAGCGCGUGUAGGCGGUUGUCCAAGUUGGUUGUGAAAGCCUUGAGCUCAACUCAAGAAAUGCAUUCAGGACUGGGCGACUAGAGGACCGGAGAGGAUAGUGGAAUUCCCAGUGUAGUGGUGAAAUACGUAGAGAUUGGGAAGAACACCAGUGGCGAAGGCGGCUAUCUGGACGGUUUCUGACGCUAAGACGCGAAAGCGUGGGGAGCAAACAGG